rnacentral:snRNA from 1 species
AUUUUGAUAUUGUCAAAAGUAUUU